UGGGGAAUAUUGGACAAUGGGCGAAAGCCUGAUCCAGCAAUGCCGCGUGAGUGAUGAAGGCCCUAGGGUUGUAAAGCUCUUUUACCCGGGAUGAUAAUGACAGUACCGGGAGAAUAAGCUCCGGCUAACUCCGUGCCAGCAGCCGCGGUAAUACGGAGGGAGCUAGCGUUGUUCGGAAUUACUGGGCGUAAAGCGCGCGUAGGCGGUCCAUCAAGUCAGAGGUGAAAGCCCGGGGCUCAACCCCGGAACA
rnacentral:rRNA from 1 species